UACGUAGGGGGCAAGCGUUGUUCGGAAUUAUUGGGCGUAAAGGGAGCGUAGGCGGGGAGAUAAGUUAGAAGUCUAAUGUACGGGCUCAACCCGUAAGCUGCUUCUAAUACUGUUUCUCUUGAGUAUGAGAGAGGAUGAUGGAAUUCCAGGUGUAGCGGUGGAAUGCGUAGAUAUCUGGAAGAACACCAGUUGCGAAGGCGGUCAUCUGGCUCAAUACUGACGCUGAGGCUCGAAAGCUAGGGGAG
rnacentral:rRNA from 1 species